GCUUAUCACCGUUCCAGAUUGAAUAUACCCGAUCUCGUCUGAUCUCGGAAGUCAAGCAAUCUCGGGCUUGGUUAGUACUUGGUAAGGUGACCGCUUGGGAAUACCGAAGUGG
rnacentral:rRNA from 1 species